UCCCUGGUAGCUCAGAUGGUAAAGAAUCUGCCUGCAAUGUAGGAGACCCAGGUUCGAUUCCUGGGUUGUGAA
rnacentral:tRNA from 1 species